rnacentral:rRNA from 1 species
AUUGAACGCUGGCGGCAGGCUUAACACAUGCAAGUCGAAAGCAUCGCAAGAUGAGUGGCAGACGGGUGAGUAACGCGUGGGAACAUACCCUUUUCUACGGAAUAGCUCUGGGAAACUGGAAUUAAUACCGUAUACGCCCUACGGGGGAAAGAUUUAUCGGGGAAGGAUUGGCCCGCGUUGGAUUAGCUAGUUGGUGGGGUAAAGGCCUACCAAGGCGACGAUCCAUAGCUGGUCUGAGAGGAUGAUCAGCCACAUUGGGACUGAGACACAGCCCAAACGCCUACGGGAGGCAGCAGUGGGGAAUAUUGGACAAUGGGCGCAAGCCUGAUCCAGCCAUGCCGCGUGAGUGAUGAAGGCCUUAGGGUUGUAAAGCUCUUUCACCGAUGAAGAUAAUGACGGUAGUCGGAGAAGAAGCCCCGGCUAACUUCGUGCCAGCAGCCGCCGUAA